GCCAUCUUUAAUCCGGGCAAGACCCCACCCUCGUACCCCACCGACCACUCCUCAGUAUCUCCAGGAUUUUCACCGAAAAACGUAACGCAGUAAGCCUUAGAGGCACUGCUGAAGAAACUUAUAAAGAGGCCCGACUAUCCACAACCAUGGAGAUACCAAAUGCGGCCAGCUGAAACAUGGCGGCUAAUCCCGAGCAGCGAAACAGCACUAACGCCAAUGAAGUCAUACUCGAAAUGCGGUGAGCCGACGGGGUUGGGGAGGGAGUAAUCUCGCGA
rnacentral:lncRNA from 1 species